rnacentral:rRNA from 1 species
GGGGAUAACUACUGGAAACGGUAGCUAAUACCGCAUAACGUCGCAAGACCAAAGAGGGGGACCUUCGGGCCUCUUGCCAUCGGAUGUGCCCAGAUGGGAUUAGCUUGUUGGUGGGGUAACGGCUCACCAAGGCGACGAUCCCUAGCUGGUCUGAGAGGAUGACCAGCCACACUGGAACUGAGACACGGUCCAGACUCCUACGGGAGGCAGCAGUGGGGAAUAUUGCACAAUGGGCGCAAGCCUGAUGCAGCCAUGCCGCGUGUAUGAAGAAGGCCUUCGGGUUGUAAAGUACUUUCAGCAGGGAGGAAGGGAGUAAAGUUAAUACCUUUGCUCAUUGACGUUACCCGCAGAAGAAGCACCGGCUAACUCCGUGCCAGCAGCCGCGGUAAUACGGAGGGUGCAAGCGUUAAUCGGAAUUACUGGGCGUAAAGCGCACGCAGGCGGUUUGUUAAGUCAGAUGUGAAAUCCCCGGGCUCAACCUGGGAACUGCAUCUGAUACUGGCAAGCUUGAGUCUCGUAGAGGGGGGUAGAAUUCCAGGUGUAGCGGUGAAAUGCGUAGAGAUCUGGAGGAAUACCGGUGGCGAAGGCGGCCCCCUGGACGAAGACUGACGCUCAGGUGCGAAAGCGUGGGGAGCAAACAGGAUUAGAUACCCU